rnacentral:rRNA from 1 species
UACGGAGGGGGCUAGCGUUGUUCGGAAUUACUGGGCGUAAAGCGCACGUAGGCGGAUAGUUAAGUCGGGGGUGAAAUCCCGGGGCUCAACCCCGGAACUGCCUUCGAUACUGGCUGUCUAGAGUUCUGGAGAGGUGAGUGGAAUUCCGAGUGUAGAGGUGAAAUUCGUAGAUAUUCGGAGGAACACCAGUGGCGAAGGCGGCUCACUGGCCAGAUACUGACGCUGAGGUGCGAAAGCGUGGGGAGCAAACAGGAUUAGAAACCCCCGUAGUCC